GGAGUCUGGGCCGUGUCUCAGUCCCAAUGUGGCCGUUCAACCUCUCAGUCCGGCUACUGAUCGUCGACUUGGUGAGCCGUUACCUCACCAACUAUCUAAUCAGACGCGAGCCCAUCUUUGAGUGAUAAAUCUUUGGUAGCCAGAUCAUGCGAUCCAACUACAUUAUGAGGUAUUACCAUCCGUUUCCAGAAGCUAUCCCUCUCUCAAAGGCAGGUUGCUCACGUGUUACUCACCCGUCCGCCACUAAGAAUAUCUAAGUAAACUCAAAUAUCCUCCGUUCGACUUGCAUGUGUUAAGCGUGCCGCCAGCGUUCGUCCUGAGCCACGGAUCAAACUACU
rnacentral:rRNA from 1 species